rnacentral:misc_RNA from 1 species
GAUGAAGAACGCAGCGAAAUGCGAUAAGUAAUGUGAAUUGCAGAAUUCAGUGAAUCAUCGAAUCUUUGAACGCACAUUGCGCCCGCCAGUAUUCUGGCGGGCAUGCCUGUUCGAGCGUCAUUUCAACCAUCAAGCCCACGGCUUGUGUUGGGGACCUGCGGCUGCCGCAGGCCCUGAAAAGCAGUGGCGGGCUCGCUGUCACACGGAGCGUAGUAGCAUACAUCUCGCUCUGGGCGUGCUGCGGGUUCCGGCCGUUAAACCACCUUCAUAACCCAAGGUUGACCUCGGAUCAGGUAGGAAGACCCGCUGAACUUAAGCAUAUCAAUAAGCGGAGGA